rnacentral:lncRNA from 1 species
AUGAGUCAAUGUGAUGAAGGAGGAAGAAUGAGACUUUGGAAUCAGAGGACUUGGGUUCAAAUUCUGGCUUUGGCAAUCUCCAAUAGGAUUUUAGGACCAGACUGGCUCAGGGAGAAGAGGAGGGUCACCAGAAGUUGGAAUACACUGAACGGGUUCCAGAAACUUGGAGACUGAACACUGGACAGUCAGGGACUUCAUUUUCCAGGGGAGGGAAUGGUCACAGGGAGGAAAUCUGGCCUCCCUGAUGUGCUGAAAGAAAUGGUUCUAUUCUUUUUCUUAUCUAUGUAAACCAAAAGGGAAAAAAGUGACAUAAAUUUAUGGAAUCUGAUGCAUUUGAGCUGUUUGUAGAGAUAAAUUAAGACAAAAAAAAUCCCUGAAGGAUGUGUGUCCCCAUGAGUCCCUGUUAUCUCAGGGGAACCCUCUGAAUUACACUGUCUAGGGAGCUGACCUACCCUCAUUCUCCAUUUUUUACCCUUAGGGACAUAAAUGCUUUUUUUUUUUUAACUUAUGAGACUAUUAGCUGAAUGAUUUAAUUUCUUAACUUCUCCCUUAUUGUCUUAGACUUUUCCGGCACUAUAUCUCUUUCUGUUUCCCUCCUGUUUCUAUUUCUCUCUUUUCCCAUCUUUCUGGUUUUGCCUUUGUCUUUGACUUUCCUACUCUUUCUGACCCUGUCCAUUUCUGUCUCUUUGUUCCAUCUCUCCCCCUCUCUCUGUCUCCUCAAAGUACAUAAGCAUGAUUCCCUAUAAAGAAUCAAUAUAAUGAACCCCAUUUCCCUCACAAAUUGUUUUCCUUUUCUCUUUCCUUUCCCCCCAGUAACAAGGGAUUACUCUGAAGAGAAGAAAUGUCUUUCUUCACCAUAACUAUGUAUCUCAGGCAAAAACAUUUUUUUCCUUUUUUAAAAAUUUAUUCAUUUAAAAAAAUAUUUUUCCAUGAUUCAUUUUCUUCCUCUCCCCUCUUCCCUUCCUCCCCCACCCCCAACUGACAAGCAAUUCCACUGGGUUGUACAAAUGUUGUCACUUGAUAUCUAUUUCUAUAUUAUUCAUUUUUGCUAUAGAGCAAUUUGUUUAAGAUCUACACCUCAAAUCACAUACCUAUAUAUA